AGGGAGAGGAGGGGAAGGAGGGAGAGGAUCUUAUGAUUUGGGGAACAAAAAAGGGAAUUGGUGACUAUAAGAUGCCCUCCUACUAAAGUGCUGCUGCAAUAAAGCAGGGCUAUAAAGGAGAUGCCCAGACUUUGCAAUCAGGUGACAUCUUAAUGCAGACUCAAUGCAGAGGAUCCUCAAAUUGGUACCAGAGAAGCCUGGCUUUGAGACUAAGCUUCAUCUCAUGGAUCACCACUCAGACACUGCAUGAGGAAGGUGCCAACUGAACUGAUGAAAGUCUCAAGAGCUGGCCAAUGUCAGCUGCAAACAGAGCUGCCUACAGAAUGAGACACAUGUGGUGUAGUAAUAGGGUGUAGGGAGACCUGUGAGAGCUGUAUACAUACACCUCUACUUCACUGUGUGCAGCACCAGCUAUAAAAACAGAUCUUCAAAACCACCUGACUCCCCUCAGCAAAUCCUGUCUGAAAACUACAGUCCAUUCCUGUCUGUGUGAAUGAUUAGUGCUAUGGACUUGCACAUACAGACAAGGGCUCAUCAAUUUCUUUAAAUGGUGAUGGUUCUCGAAUGUUUCACCUAAUUUCAAUGAAUUUGCAAACCCUAUUUCAUUUUACUUGAGCCUGUCCCCCAGGGGCUUACGUUGUGCAGUUUCUCUGAAAAUGUGUAUUGCUUUAGAUCUGUGCUUUGCAACUGGCUAACCACCUACUUAGCAGUGCUUGUCAUUUGGUUUUUUUUUUUUAAUAUUCUCAAGUCUUAU